UACGUAGGGGCGAGCGUUGUCCGGAAUUACUGGGCGUAAAGAGCACGUAGGCGGGAACCUAAGUCAGGUGUGAAAGACCGUGGCUCAACCACGGGGUGGCAUUUGGAACUGGGUUUCUUGAGGGCAGGAGAGGAAAGCAGAAUUCCUGGUGUAGCGGUGAAAUGCGUAGAAAUCAGGAGGAAUACCAGUGGCGAAGGCGGCUUUCUGGACUGACCCUGACGCUGAGGUGCGAAAGCGUGGGUAGCAAACAGGAUUAGAUACCCCGGUAGUCCCUGAGCGGG
rnacentral:rRNA from 1 species